GGGGGCCCUGUCGGGGGUGCGGGAGUGUGGAAUGGGGUUGCGGCAGUCAGGGAACAGGGGCGAUUGGAUGGGUCAGAGGUUCGGGGGGAGGGCUGUCUGGGCAGGGAUGUGGAGAGGGAUUGGGGCAGGCAGGGAGUAGGGGGAGUGGGAUGGGUCGGGAGCUCUGGGGGUCUUGGCGGGGAGCGGUUGCAUAGGUGUGGGAGUCCCAGGGGUCUCUCUGGGGACGGGGCUCUGGAUAAGGGUUGGGGCAGUCAGGAGACAAGUAGGGGGUAGGAUCCUAGGGGGGGCAGUUAGGGUGAGGGGAACUGCAGGGGGGGCAGUCGGGGGAGAAGGACCAAGGAGGCUUAGAUGAGGUGGGGUCCUGGGGGCCAGUUAGGGGCAGAGUCCCAGGAGGGGGCAAUCAGGGGACAAGGAGCAGAGGGGGUUGGGGAUUCAGAGGGGGGCAGUCAGGGAGUGGGAAGUGGGAGGGAGUGUAUCGGGUGGGGCUCCCUGGUUGCACACCCUAAUGAAAUGUGCUGUGCACGCCUAUCUGAACCGUGGUAAUCAGGGGAGUGCUGUGUAGGGUCCCUGGGGACACAGAGGAGCUGAAGUCCCUCAGCGUUAGGGGAACUAGGCAAUGCGAAGUGACGGGGUUCACACCCUGCACAGAUGGGGGUGAGGGAAUCAGCAUCCACUGGGGGCUGAGGGCUGGGAUGGGCAGUAGAACGGGAGGCAGGUUGGGACCGAGGAACCGGGGAACAUUUCAAUCCUGAACAAUGCAAAACAGAGAAAUGCUCCCGAAUCUCUUCCAGCCAAUUAACAUUUCUGUGCAGAAAGCUAAAGGUUGUAACAGAAAGGAGUGAAACCAAAUGGCCAGACAAUGGCGCCAGCAGCGUAGGAACGAAAAGCCCAGGAUUUGUGUGUGUACCUGGGCCCUGGAAAGGGAUUUGGUUCCACUCAUUGCAUUGCUGUGGCCGGUAACAUCCCAGGAAUGAGCCAGGUCAAUGACCAUGACACCAGGUGUGAGGAGGCUUUAAUCUGAUUCCAACGGAAUAAUGAUUUCACACCUGAGUUAUUAGCGGCAGCUUCCCAAGGGCAGUUCCAACUGGUUCCUCCCAGAGAUGGGUGGUCAGGGAACAGGGGGCCUCUGGCUCCGACGGUCAGUUCUCCAGGCGUUCUCCCUCCCUCCCCCCCCCACACUAUCACAUGCCCCCAUUAGUAAUGAACUAAUGAAUAUAAACUGGCCAUCAACAAGCUUAACCUUGAAAUUAGGUGAAGGUUUCUAACCACCAGAGGAGUGAAGUUCUGGAACAGCUUUCCAAGGGGAGCAGUGGGGGCAAAAACCCGAACUGGCUUCAAGACUGAGCUUGAUACGUUUAGGAUGGGGUGGUAUGAUGGGAUUGCCUGUAACGGCAUGUGGCCGAUCUGUGAUUGCUAGUAACAAAUAUCUCCAACAGCCGGAGAUGGGACAAUAGGUGGGGAGGGCUUGAAGUUACUGCAGAGAAUUUUUUCCCAGGUGUCUCGGUGCCUCUUCUCCACAUGCUCAGGGUCUAGCUGAUCACUAUAUUUGCAUUUGGGAAGGAGUUUUCUCCAAGGGUAGAUUGGCAGAGACCCUGGGGGGUUUCCGCCUUCCUCUGCAGCAUGGGGCAGAGGUCACUUGCAGGUUUAAAUCAGUAUAAGUGGCGGAUUCUCUGUAACUUGACAGUUUUAAUCCAUGAUUUCAGGAUGUCAGUAACUCAAGCAGAGGUUAGGAGUCUAUUACAGGAGUGGGUGGGUGGGGUCUUUUGGCCUGCAAGGUGCAUGAGAUCGGACCAGAUGAUCACGAUGGUCCCUUCUGCCCUUAAAGGCUCUGAGUCCAAAAUGGAGAGAGAGGUAAAGGAAACAUUUAAAAAAAUAAACCAAACAUUGUAAUGCCAGGAGGACUCCAACAGCUCACUGUAUAGUCCCGCCUCUUUCUUCCUCCACUGGGUGUUGAAUGACCUGCUGGGAUGUGGGACAUUAUUUCUCCCAUUCCAUUGAUAAACAGAUACAACGGGACUGAAAUUAAACCAAUUCCUGGCCAAGAAAAGGGCACAUCCCUGCAUUGGCCGGGAAUUGCGCCCAGGUCAACUGCUUAGAAGACAGCUAUGCUCACUCCUAUACCACCAACGCAUCUGGCAGGAGGGUUUCUCCCAGGUGCCACUUAUGCCAAAUGACUCACCCCAACAGAGCUCAGCAGCUGGCCAGCCAGGCUGGAGGCAGCCUGUGAGCAGAGACAAGUUCCUAGAGUAACUGAUAGAUGGGGACAUGUAGGGCCGGCUCCAGGCACCAGCGAAGGAAGCAGCUGCUUGGGGCGGCCAAUGGAAAGGGGUGGCACAGCCGGGUCUUCGGUGGCAGGUCUCUCAGUCCCUCUCUUCCGCUCUGAGCUGCCGCUGAAGAGGAAGAGAGGGACCGAAGGACUCACCACCAAAUUACCGCUGAAGAAUGAAUCGGCACGUUUUAGCUGCUACCAAAGUGCCGCCAAUUGGCUUUAUUUUCCCCCCCCAGUUCACUGCUUGGGGCGGCAAAAAAGCUGGAGCUGCCCCUGGGGACAUGAGCUCGACAUCCCAGCCUGUGUUAGCUCCAACCCCAUAUCUGCCCUCAGAGAAGGGAAAUGAAAAUCGCUGACCAAAAUGACAAUUUUCACCCUGUUGUCAGAUGCCAUUGGUGUGGAGCUCUGCUCAUUUGAUGUUGAUAACAGUCGGCUGCAUGUGUGCUGCCCCGGCUCUGCAGAUCGCUGGCACAGCAGACCCAGAGAGAACCCCCAAUGACCACAGACACUGAUGAGGGAUGAAGGCACCCGGCCAGGUUUAUUGUCUAAUGAAGCACGGUAAUAGUUCCCCGUAGACUCUACAGGACAUACUACAAGUAUGUGCCCCCGACAAUGGACCAGUUCAGUCAGUGGCGGGACUCUCCACUGCCCCCUAGGCCAGACAAAGACGUCCACUCGUGUGCAUUCGUAUAUAUGGGCCUCAUCCUACUACACAUCAACGGUGGUGCUGACCACAAUGCAACGCCACUUUGGGGCCCAGGAAACAAGCACCGAGUGGUGGGAUCACAACGUGAUGCACGUCUGGGAUGAUGAGUGUUGUCAGAGGUGUGUUGUUAGAAGCACUACCGGUAUGGUGCUCUGCUCUGCUCUCUCCAAUGUUGGUAUCACUCGGCUGCUUGCGUGAGCUCACCCUGUGUGCUGCCCCAGCUCUGCAGAUAGCUGAUGCAGCAGACCUGACGAGAACCCCCAAUGACCACAGACUCUAGUAAGGUGCAAAGUCACGUCUGCUAGGUUUAUUGCGAUCUUGGACACAAUGGCAGUUCCCUGUAGGUUUCUUAGCCUAACUCAGGGCAUACUACGAGAAAGUGCCUCUUGGCCAUGGACCCGGCUCAGUCAGUGGCGGGACUUUCCACUGCCCCCUAGGCCGGACAAAGACACCGCCCCAAGGAUGCAUUCUUAUACACAGGUACAAACAAGUUACACAUCACUCCUGAUGUAUUGAGGUACAACCCUUCUACGUAGCAAGGUACAACCCCUCUACGUAGUAAGGUGCCGCCUCUCACCUUGUACAUGUUGGUUUGAACAAAACAACUCUAUCCAUCAUAUUACCCUUUUGCCCCUGUCAUUGGGAUGGGUCAGCCUGUUCCUUGUUAUCUGUGUGGAAUGUGCAAGUAUGUGAAUGUUCUGAUCUCUAGUGUUCAGUACCUUUUAGGUACGUAUCUUCUUGCAGCAUCAGCCCUUUCCUUGCCAGCUUCUGUGAGCAGGGCCUGCCUUUGGCUCAGAGCUUCACUUUGCUUUAUGUUAGCAAAGUCUUGGCCAUUAUUUUACUUCAGGUCUCAUACUGGGCCUUUAUCAGGGCCUUCACUUACUACAAUAAGCAGUGGCUGCAGAGCUUUUGGAUGUGGAAAGCCACCGUCAUGGGACUGUGUGAUGAGCUCGCCCCAGCCCUGCAGUGCAAGGUCACGAGAAUGAGAGCUGCCCUGCCAUUCGAGAAGCAGGUGGCAAUUGCACUGUGGAAGCUGGCUAUUCCAGACUCCUACCAAUCGGUCAUUAACCAGUUCGGAGUGGGAAAGUCGACUGUUGGAUACGUUUACAAGUGUGCAGAGCCAUUUAUUGCAUCCUGCUCUGAAAGACUGAGCCUCUGGGAAAUGUGCAUGACAGUGUGGAUGGCUUUGCACAAAUGGGCUUCCCUAACUGCGGAGGGGGAUAGAUGGCAUGCAUAUUCCAAUCCCGGCACCUGAUUACCUAGUCACCAAGUACAUGAAUCGCAAGGGGUAUUUUUCUAGGGUUUUCCAGGCACUUGUGGAUGACCGUGGGCAUUUCACGGACAUUAACACAGACUGAUCCGGAAAGGGGCAUGACACACGCAUCUUUCAGAACAGUUGUCUAUUCAGGACGCUGAAAGCAGGGACUUUCUUCCUGGACCAGAAGAUCACUGUAGGGGAAGCCAAAAUGCCCAUUGUGAUCCUGGAAAACCCCACCUACCCCUUAAUGCCAUGGCUUAUGAAGCCAUACACAGGGCAUCUUGACAGCAACAAGGAGCGGUUCAACAACAGGCUGAGCAAGUGCAGAAUGACUGUUGUGUGCUUUUGGCCAUUUAGAGGCCCGCUGGUGCUGCCUAUAUGGAAGGCUGGACCUGGCCCAUGACAAUAUUCCUAUGCUAACAGCCAUGUGCUGCACACCCCAUAAUAUUUGUGAAGGGAACAGUGAAAGCUUCUCUCAGGGCUGGAUGACUGAGGCUGAGCACCUGGAGGCUGAAUUUGAACAUCCAGAGAUCAGGGCUAUUACAGGGGCAGAGUGUGGGGCCAUAAGGAUCAGGGAUGGCUCGAGGCAGGAAUUUGAAGCUAAAAGCCACUAAUAGUUGUUGCUAUGCACAGGAGUGCAGUGCUUGUAAAGCUAGGAGAUGAUUGUGAUUGGUGCAGACGAUGCACUAUAAAGGUUUAAGAGAAUUGC